GUACUCCCUUCAGCAGCAUAUAUACUAAAAUGGGAGCGAUACAGAGAAGAUUAGCAUGGUUCCAGUGCAAGGAGAAAAAGGACAAGGUGAGUGAAAGAACCAGUUAUU
ensembl:snRNA U6 U6 spliceosomal RNA